rnacentral:lncRNA from 1 species
CUAGCUGAAACCUGGUCAGCCUCUCAGGCAGCUCCUCUGGCUGCCAGCUGAAGGCAAGGUAGCAUCCCUGAUACCUCACAGAAGAGAUGCCAAUGGCUGUGGCUUGUUGGGCUGUCUCUGUCAUGCAAGAGGACUGUUCAUGGGAUGGAGUGGUGGCAGUGCUGCGUUCAUCAGCUGGGCCAAUGCAACCCUGUGUCUUUCAUGACACUGAUUUUUGCAUUCAAAAUGAGCACCACCUCAGAGCAUGGGAACAGCACAGAAUAAAGACCUUACCAUCAAUUUCAGAAGAAGAUGGCUGGGGAACAGCACAGGGAUUUUAGCAUGGAUGCAGUGAUCUUAUCAGCACUGUCACGGGAAAGUGUUGCUUUCAUCAUACUUCUCAUGACUACAUCCAGUUAUUCACUAUUCAUUGUGGCUGGCUGGACUUCACUGGAAGGAAACUGAACUGCAAACUACGCAUAUUUUUCACUUGGUGGUCAAAAAAGAAAAAUGGGGAAAGAAAGAGAAAAAAUAGUAUUUUGUGGAUGCAAAAGCUCAAGUGCAUGUGUGUACCUCAGUAUAGAAAAUGUGGACACGGAUAAAAGAAAGAGUUUGCCUAGGAAUCAAAGUACAUAACUGGUGGUGGCUUAAAUACCAUCUUUUAACUUCUUUAAUCUGCUUAAAAACCCCUGUGGCGAAAUCAGUAUAACCCCCUCAGUCUGCAAGCAGUUAUACUGCUAUAUGUGUACCUAAUACCUGUGUAGCUUAAUUUCAUGCCUACAAGAGAAUAAAAGUUACACUGGUAUAAAGCCUAUUUAUAUC